rnacentral:pre_miRNA from 1 species
CUUAGGGUUUUUUUUUCUAAUAUUUGACCGUUCAUCUUAUAUAUAAUUUUUUUAUGAUUAGUAUUUUCAUUAUUGUUAGAUGAUAAAACAUGAAUAAUAAUUUAUGCAUAACUUAUUUUUUUAAAUUUUUUCAUAUUUUUUUUAAAUAAGACAGAUGGUCAAACGUUAAACACCAAAACUCAGGAAUUGACUUUUU